UUACGUCCAUAUCACGUCCAUACACCGGUUCUUGUACGAUCACCGAAGUUAAGCAACGUCGAGCAUGGUCAGUACCUAGAUGGGUGUCCGCUUGGGAAUAUCAAGUAUUGUAAG